rnacentral:rRNA from 1 species
ACGGUAACCAACCCCAUGGUUGGGCAUAGCCGGGAGAAAUCCCGGGUAAUUCCCAGCGACGUCGCGGGGAGGCAUUUCCCUGCGACCAAAGGUGCGAUUCCGCCGUGGGACGGGCCGUCGUGGUAUUAGGUAGUUGGCGGGGUAACGGCCCACCAAGCCUUCGAUGCCUACCGGGCGUGCGAGCGUGGCCCGGCACACUGGGACUGAGACACUGCCCAGACUCCUACGGGAGGCUGCAGUCGAGAAUCUUCGGCAAUGGGCGCAAGCCUGACCGAGCGACGCCGCGUGGAGGAUGAAGGCCUUCGGGUUGUAAACUCCUGUCGAGGGGGAGGAAGGGGCGGCGCAGAGCCGUCCUUGACCGAUCCCUGGAGGAAGCACGGGCUAAGUUCGUGCCAGCAGCCGCGGUAAGACGAACCGUGCGAACGUUAUUCGGAAUCACUGGGCUUAAAGAGCGCGUAGGCGGAUCGCCGCGUCGGAGUCUGAAAUCCCCCGGCUCAACCGGGGAACUGGAUCCGAAACGGGCGGUCUUGAGGGACGUAGGGGGGGCUGGAACUUCCGGUGGAGCGGUGAAAUGCGUUGAGAUCGGAAGGAACGCCCGUGGCGAAAGCGAGCCCCUGGACGUCUACUGACGCUGA